AACGAACGCUGGCGGCAUGCCUAACACAUGCAAGCCGAACGAGACCUUCGGGUCUAGUGGCGCACGGGUGCGUAACGCGUGGGAAUCUGCCCCUUGGUUCGGAAUAACAGCGAGAAAUUGCUGCUAAUACCGGAUAAUGACGUAAGUCCAAAGAUUUAUCGCCAAGGGAUGAGCCCGCGUAGGAUUAGCUAGUUGGUGUGGUAAAGGCGCACCAAGGCGACGAUCCUUAGCUGGUCUGAGAGGAUGAUCAGCCACACUGGGACUGAGACACGGCCCAGACUCCUACGGGAGGCAGCAGUGGGGAAUAUUGGACAAUGGGCGAAAGCCUGAUCCAGCAAUGCCGCGUGAGUGAUGAAGGCCUUAGGGUUGUAAAGCUCUUUUACCCGGGAUGAUAAUGACAGUACCGGGAGAAUAAGCUCCGGCUAACUCCGUGCCAGCAGCCGCGGUAAAGUGACUACUG
rnacentral:rRNA from 1 species